ACAGCGUUUAAUCUUAAUUACAAAAUGUGUUUUGUAAUGUCAUAUCGUUUAAUAACGAUAUUUAUGUGCUGUAUGUGGCUAAAAAGACAUUUAUAUCCACUCGCGAUGCGGAACAGACGAGAGCUGUGUACUCCUAAACUUUUUCUCAGAGAGAUAUUUUCUUUCACUCACGAUGCAGAGGAGACAAGUUUUAUCAAGGAACACACCGUAAGUAAGUGUUUUAUCUAAGUUGCGAUAUGUAUUUUGUAAGAUAAUAUUACGUUAUGACGAUAUUUAUAACGUUAUGCUGUUCGCGCCUAAACGUUUCUCACAGAUUUGAAUUGCAAUGCGGAGCUGACGCAGAGGCCGCUUUUAAUAGGGAAACUUAAGGGAGAUAUUUUCUUUCACUCACGAUGCGGAGCAGACGGGGAAGUUGGUUUUAUCAAGGAAAACACCUAAAAUUUGAAUUGUUACGCAGUGCAGACGCAGAGGUGGCUUUUAACAGGAAAACGUAAGAAAGAGAUAUUCUUUCACUUGGGAGCUGAUGUGCUUGAAGAGUAUGAAGUCACCAUUACAUUAAGUGGGAUGAGAAGAGCUUUGUUAGGACACAUACCAGAGACAAGGGAGGAGUCCAACCUCAAUGCAGAGAGAGAUCAGUACGCACUUGGAAUUAUGACUUUGUUUCUGUUGUUAAAAGACUAAUUUUCCAGUAAGACUGACUUUCUUUUUACAAUAUAUAUACAUACAUUUACAGUGAAUUAAAUGAUUUUCCUUAAAGCAGUAAGUCACCCAAAAAUGAAAAUUGAGUCAACAUUUACUUAGCCUUGGCCUUGUGUUGCUCUAACGCCAUAUGCCUUUCUUUCUUUUUUUGGACCACAAAAGGAGAUUAAAAAAAUGCCCUGA